rnacentral:rRNA from 1 species
GACGAACGCUGGCGGCGUGCCUAAUACAUGCAAGUAGAACGCUGAAGGAGGAGCUUGCUUCUCUGGAUGAGUUGCGAACGGGUGAGUAACGCGUAGGUAACCUGCCUGGUAGCGGGGGAUAACUAUUGGAAACGAUAGCUAAUACCGCAUAAUAGUAGAUGUUGCAUGACAUUUGCUUAAAAGGUGCAAUUGCAUCACUACCAGAUGGACCUGCGUUGUAUUAGCUAGUUGGUGGGGUAACGGCUCACCAAGGCGACGAUACAUAGCCGACCGGAGAGGGGGAUCGGCCACCCUGGGACGGGGACACGGCCCAGACGCCUACGGGAGGCAGCAGUAGGGAAUGUUAGGCAAUGGACGGAAGUCUGACCGAGCAACGCCGCGUGAGUGAAGAAGGUUUUCGGAUCGUAAAGAUCUGUUGUGAGAGAAGAACGAGUGUGAGAGUGGAAAGUUCACACUGUGACGGUAUCUUACCAGAAAGGGACGGCUAACUACGUG